CUUAGAAAGAAACUCACAGGCUUCUGCCCUUCACCACCUCCCUGAGGCCUGAGGCUGUGGCCAUCUGGUCACCAGACUCGGGCACAGGGUGGUGGCACCUGGAGAAGGAUGUGGGGCAUGGAGGGGCCGGGGUGAUGCAGGGAAGUCAGCUGAGGGCCGGCUUGAGGAAGAUGCCAGCCUGCCCUCUCCUCCGGCCUCAGUGUGCCCAGUGUGGGAAGACACCCCGCUCCCUGACUCCUGCUCAGGAUCCCCCUUUGGGGUCCGCAGAGCUGAGCCGAGAGGCCCGGACCCCCCUGUUCCCCCCCAGUGUGGCAGCUUCCCGGGCGACAUUUGUGCGGACAUUCAGUUGUGGGGCCGGGCUCGGCACAUGUGUCCUCCCCUCCCUCAGUCCUGCAGGGCAGUGUCAGACAGGAGGAGAGGGUUUGGGCCCACAGGGCGCUGCCAACCAACACGGGGCCAAGAGAUGGACGGAGGGCAGGGAAAGGGGCAAGAAGAAUUAAAAUGUGUUAUGUGUAAGCACUAUAAACGUUUAUUAAUAAAAAGAAAAGAAACGUUCUCAGCGCAGCCGGGGCGUGGGGGCCCUGGCAGCUGGGUCCUUGGGCCCCCUGGGGCUGGGCUAAUUCUAGGCACCGUGGGGCACAGGGCCCAGAGCAGGCGUCAGGCCUGGGGCGGUGUCAGAGUCCGAGGGCAGCCGGGCUCUGCGGUUUGGCCCGGAGAAGCUCUAGCCUUCCCGGCUCGCGGGCCGGGCCAGGCUGGGAGCCGAACGGCUUCCUGCAGUAACAAACGUCUCCUUUUUCGGGCUGUGAUGCCACCGCUGACGGCUGAGGUGUUUUCCCGCUCUAUGGGAAGAAUGACAGCAAGAUGCAAAACUGCCGGCGAUCCCCCUGAAUUCCGAACAUUGUUCUCAUAGUUGGGGAAGCGCCACGGCUGGCUGCAGACACAGACACGGAGAGCGAGUGCGAGGUGCGGGAGGCUGCGGGAGCGGCAGGGCGGCAGCGUCAAAGGACAGGAAUGUGAGGAAUGCGCUUGGCUGACUGUGCCUUGGUGCCUCGUGGGCUGGUGGUGUAAAGCAAGGUCUGGCCUGGCUUAGAAGAGGGCAAGUCGAGCCAGAGGUGGUGGCGCACCUCUGUCAUCCCAGCACUCUGGAGGCUGAGGCAGGAGGAUGGCU
rnacentral:lncRNA from 1 species